GGCACUGACCAGGCUGGACAUGUCUGGUCACGCAGACACACCUUCACACCUAUCUAACACCGCUGCCAUGGAUCUGACUGAGGCUCUACCCAGACUCCCUAACCUGGAGGAGCUGAACCUGUUUUACAUCUCCAUGGAGCCUGCAGGCUUCAAUGCUGUGGUGCAGGCUGCAGAUGGACACCCAACACUCAAGGAGCUACACUAUGAAACAGAACAGGUGCCUGAGGGAGCAGAAACUACAGCCAGCUAUCUGAAGCUGUCAAGCUUCCAAUGAGUUCCUUUCAUCAUGCCAACCUGUUCUGUACAUUGUCUCAGGUAUGUGUUACGUCAUGUAGCUGUCCCGACACACAGGUGCCUUCCAGUCUGGACAAGUGUGGCUUUCCUGAAAGUUAUAUAUUAAGCCCUGCCAUCACACAAAAAUCCUCCCCAAACAUCUGCUUGGAGAGUGUAUCCACAUUCCUAUGACAACUCAUCUACUAAUUUGAAGAACAAAUUGUGGACACCACAUGACUUACCAAGGACAUAUCGUCUACCCUAUAUAUAUCUAUAUCUAUCCAUCUAAUAUCUAUCUAUCUUAAUUCUUAUAUCUAUCUACUAGAUGUGUAGAUAUAUAUAUAGAUAUCUUUGUAUAUAUAUAUUCUAUCUGUCU